UAGCCUUAUGUGAUGCCCAAGGACAUGCAAAGCAGAAGCCAGAGUUUGGGGUGGUGACAUUCACAUUGCAUAUGUCAUUUGAGCACCUGCACACCCCAACAGCUGCAGACAAGCCAGAGCACUGCCCAAGGAUAGAUCAGACCUCAGCAUCCCUCUCCCAGCACACUACAUCAGCUGUCCCUCCCGGGAAAAGGAACGAGGCUCCUGCACACAGAAGAUCCCACUCUGCUUCUCUGGCCUCCGUCCCUCCCAACAGAGACUGCUACGCACUACGCCUUGAAAAACCACUGUGCUAAGGUGCUGUGAUCAAGAGGAAAGGCCUGUGUUUUUAGUUACAAACUGAGGACACAUCCUGGUUACUGGAGACGGAAAGUAUUUGCAGGCAGAGGGCUCACGUGCAGAUGUGUCAUGGCUGCAGCGUACGUACCAAGUGGAAACUUCAUUCACAUGCCCUCAGGAACACCUCGCCCAUUUUCUUUUCCGCUCUGUGGGAAGACUGGACACCCUGUCCCUUCCUACAGCUGGUUUCAGUUCUUAUCCCAGACAGCAAUAGCCCUUGGACCUCACCAGAGUCCACCUGCACCAUUUCACAGCAGGAUCCUGCUUCGGCAAACUCUCCAGCAUUAGGAGGUCUUGCACCGCCCACCCCCAGCGCCUCCUGCUGAAAGAGAGCAGGACCAGCAGAGCAGUGACCCAUCGCACCAACACCAUCCUGCACAGCAUCCCUCCUGGAGGAAGCUUCUGUUACAGCUGCUCGAAAUCUGCCCAACCUGUCGAGCUGUGGUGUCCAACGUGCAAGGAAAUCCAGCAGAACCGCGUGCAAAUAACCAGAGCUCGGUGGGCAUGAGGAAGACUCAGUUGCAGCCACUCCUCUCCGAUCAGAGCCAGAUUCCCCUAGCAGGACUGAUGAGAUGCAGGAGAACCAGCUGUGUCACUGCAGGAGUUGUGAGGAAGGAAGCCAGUGGGAGGAGAGCAACUCUCCGAGGCAGGGCUGCUGUGGGUGAUUCAGCAGACGGGGCGUUCUCCUCUAGCAACGAAGGUGCAGCGCUCAUCUACAGCACCUCUCCCGUCGGUAAUCCCAAGACGUGUGCAAUCAACUGUCCCCUUCUUAGAGCUGGGGAUACUGAGGCACAAAAAGGGGCUGCGAGGCCAGCCAACAACUCAGUGGCAGAGCCGGGAAUAGAGCACUUAGCUAGAAGGACAAUAAAUCAGAAUAUCAUAGUACAACAAGGCCAGUCGUGACCUCAGAAGGUCACCUCGUCUAACCCUCUGCUCAAGGCAGGAUCAUCCCUGUCUAAACUAUCCCAGAUAAAUGCUUGUCGAGCCUGCACUUAAACACUUCCAGUGGCAGAGAUACCGCAGCCACAUGCACGCUUUCUGGUGUUGUAGAAAACCCUUAGGGGGGAAACAGAACCCAGGUGUCCAGCUUCCCAGGCUGCCUGGUGUAAUCAUUAGACCGCAUUCCAGCCCCUGAAUGCUGUUUCUUGGCAGUGCCGGUUUGUUCUAGUCCUAGAUGUGAUUCCUCAUUUAUAUUUACUACUCUAGAUGACCAGAGAGUGGAAUAAAACCCAUUUGUGUGGAAAGCCCCA
ensembl:lncRNA